AAAACAUAGCACAGACAAGACAGACAGGAUAAUCAAUCACGUGAGUUCAAAACACACACUCUCUCUGUCGCGCGCGCGCGCUCGUAAGCAACACACACGCACAAACACGCGAGCGCUCUCCUCCUCAUGUCUGCUGGCUGUGUCUGUUUGCGGGAGUCAUAAAUCAAUGCUGCGCUGCCAGACAGCCUAACGCGGAGCCGAAGAGAGAAAUGGAGCAGCGGUACAAUCUCCACCACGCUCUGCUACACUUUUUCUCCAGCGCCAGGCCGAGUGACAGAGGACAGAUAAUGCUAGGAGUUCCUCCGUGUUUGUGUGUGUCCUCGUCGCCGUGGCGAACACGACUCCCGUCCCACUAAUGUUAGGCAGCGGUGCUGCAUCAUGUGUGACCUCAUUAUGCCCCCCACUCCCUUUCUUUCCUGCUUCCAAUCACGCUGGUAGCAAAAACGUGGCGUCUGCGUUUUCCGCUCCGGCCCUCCGCUCGAGCUCGUGAGUCUGCCGUUUUCACAGCCCGUGAUUCAGCGCCCACGAGCGCCGGCGUCACACCGCUCAGCUCGAUAGCAGCUGUCCGGUUUACCCCAGUAAUUAACACCCAGGCUCAUAUUGCUCCAGUAAAUCACGCAGGAACAUUUCAGCUUACGUGCGACAGCAGCUCCAGGAAAAGAGCCCGAGAAACAGGUGCGACAGGCAGGUGGAGUCCCAGCAGCUGCAGCUCAUCAAACUCAUCAAGGUGGAGCUGAACGAGGAGCUGGAUCCCUCUGACUGACACCAGGUCAUUUGCUCAUGCUGAACGUCCAUAGAUCCAUCCUGGCCUGUUUAAAGAAGAAUCGAUCACCUUUGAAGCUUUAAGUGGCCUCAACAUCCAAAACGGACGGGAUACAUAAAGGAGACGGGGACUUGGCCGAAUGGAUGCGGCGCAUUCGAAUGAAGCCUCCCUGCAAUCAGAGAUCAGAUUAGAGGUCAGGAUUUGGUCAGAGCACAACCCAGAUCCGCAGAGGAGACAGCUGUUAGCCGUGACAGAUGAGGGGGAGCCGACAAGAGGCAGGGUCGCACAACAGAGAGGCAGACAGGGAUCAAAUCAACUAAGUGAGCGCGGGAGAGGACGGGCCGGGGAAGAAGGAAGUGAGGAUGACAAGGUGCAUGCAGAGGAAGUGCAUGUGGGGAGAUAAGAUAGUGCAGAUGAAACCAGAAGGGGAGGACGGAGAAGAAGAAAGGUAAUUUGAGAGAGCGCAGUAGAGGAGGUUGAGGCAGGGCUGACAGUGGGCCAUUCAUCCUCCAUGCUAGAGGAGACAAACUGCUGGCAGAGGAGGACAGGCCCCAUAAAUCACUCCGGAGCACACACAGGCACACACAGAGUAAAACUCAGCCAUGACCACACACACACCCACGAGAACUAAAAGUACACACCUCCUACAGCUUAUUUGGCCAGGCCAGGUUCUCCUUUUACUUUCUGGAUGUGUUUCUAUCCGCAGGUCUCUCUGCUCUUAAAUUCAGUUCUAGGUAGUUUUAGAAGUGGGUAUGUGGUGAAGAGACUCAACAUAUUCCCUGAAUCCUCCAGCCUUCAGUAAGUAACAGUCUAUGUAUGUUCUGAGGAUUAUCCAGAGCCAAUAUGUGAAAACUGGAUAACAUUUUUAGUUUUAGUUUGUUCAGAAGAACAUGUAAAGAAUGUUCUCUGAAGCUGUGUUUCCAUUAUUAAUGUGUGGAAAUCUUUGUCGAUACUCAACAUGUUUGAAUAACACACACAAUUUUCUUAUGAACUGUGCUAUACUAUGAGCUGCACAUUGUCUGAAAAAAAAAGAAAAAGGAAAACGAACCAUCAUCCUCCUACCACUUCCUGUCGUCGUCUUUGUUGUUUCCACCAGUAGUAACAUCCAGUUGACUCGUGUGCUGUGAAAGAGUCUCCAUUGCACCAUUGUGAAAUGCAUCUUUUACAUUGUGGCCAAAACAGCCACCUCAUCCGAGCGCAAAAUCCUUUAGCGAAAAAUGUGUUCUUCUGAAAUUGCCAUGUUUCCACUAAGCAAAUUUAUUUUCAUAAUUUCAAUUUGCGCAAUGCUAGCGUUAAUGGAAACACAGUCAGAGAAAGAACUCAGUUUACAGUUUUUCUUUUAAUUUAGGUCUAGAAACUGAGAUGGUGGUGAUUUUUGACUUCUGCGUCGACUUUGACAUAUUUUCAAUUGUCUCCUUUGCAGAAAGACCCAAUGAAGACCCAUUUAUAGCUGUACGGUAGAGUCCACCAGAUUGCCAAUGAAACUGUUCUGGUUUUCCACUGAGCUCAGUGAAGGUUUGGAUCUUGGCUGCUGAAUUUUUGUACCUCUGGUACUUGUUUUUUAACUGAUUAUUUCCAGUAAAGAACUAUUCUUUGUUUCUUUGUUCAGUGAGCAAUUAAAGCUAUUUCCUUUCAUUUCAACCUGCAUGGUUUUUUGUUUCCUAAAAUAGUUUUCUGCAAAAAGACCAAACACUAUCUGACGCAGCCUGACAUAGGCUAAAGUUUUAUCUAACAUUAAUAACCCUUUCCUGUUCUUAAGAAUGAGCAUAUACUCUCUGGUUCAAAUUUGUGCCAUUACUGAAUUAUUCAGAUUUAAAAACUUAUUUCUGUUAUCACUUUAUAUCCACUUGCUACAGUUAGUUUGUGCUUUUAGUCGUAAAGCUCUUUUACUGUUUUUGCAGCUCUAUUUCUGUCUGCUAGGAAUUUGAUGUAACCUUUGGAUUUUCCGCUCGGGGUCCGGUAAUACUCUGCUGGCGGUUGGCUCUCAUUCCCUCCGUCUCUCUGCGGCUGCGGCUGGCAGCUCGGACCGAUCCGCUCGCUCUGUGUGGGUUCUGCCUGUCUCAAACCUCCUGCUUCCCUCCUCCGCCCACUGAUGGUGAGGAGUGCCAGUUCCUCUUCGCCUAGCCUCGCCUUGACCCCCGCGCUGACACACACAGUGUGUUUUGACAGCGAGCCACACUCUGAACACGCCGGUAGGUCAGGUCAGGGAGUGGCUCCCCUCGUGUUUUCACUGGAGUAGAGGAUGGACACUUUGUUGUUAUUCCAGAGGUUAUUGAGCUCAUUCCUUUCAGGAACAAUUAAUUAAACGGGAUAAGGAUGCGGCUCAUUUGGUGGCACAAGAAAAAUCUGCGUCUGAUCUGCUCUAAAUUAAAUUUGGAUCUUUCUGGAAACGUAUUAAUUUUUAAAAAAUCACACCAAGAUUUUAAAAAAUCAUGAACACAAACACUGGGUUGUUUGAUUCAAAUUUGUUGAGUCUUAAAGUAGGAGCAACGCUCUGGAUUUAUAUGAACCUUUAUAUCAUUUUGAAGACACAGUGUCCAGCUGAAAGUUGGCAUACAUCUUGAUUGUUUACACAUUUUGUCAAUUACAACCAUAAGCCUCUUUGUAUUUUACCAGGGUGUCGUAUAACAGUUGCUAUAUGAGCUGCCAGUCAGUUUGUUCACAUCUUAUCAUAGAUUAGCUCUUUGUUCACACUCUAUGUUAAUAGAUGGCAGAAACGCUCCUUUUGUUGUUUUACAACCACUAUUUAUAAUUAUUUUAUAAUUUGAUUUUUUUUCCUCUUAAUAAUAGGACAUUACAUAUUUAACAUUUAUAUGUAAAUACAGGAAAUUAUAGCCAAGAGACUAGUUUCCAUUCUUAGUCCCAUUGACUGGUUGUCUGAUGCUUAAUAAGAAAAAUCAGCUAAAAACCUUAAUAAAGGAGAAAAGUGGGUAAUUAAGCAGUUGUUUGGAAUUUGUAGUCUGUAAAGGUUAAAUAACUUUUACUUUAGACCAAGUAAGUUGAAUAGACUUACCAUAAAGACGCUAAAAUUACAUUUGUACACAUUUAAGCUAGGCUAAGCUAAACAUGCUAAUCGCUUGAUUAGAAAACCACUGUAACAAAUGAAUCUACUACACUGUUUUGGUAUCCUAAAAGGAUACAUGUUUUUUUUUUUUUUGAUAAAUAGUUUUGUUGUUUAAGUUUUGACCCACGGGUCACUAUAAUCUAAAACUGCAUUUAGAUGAAAUCACAAUUUUCACGUGCUGCCCUUCUACAGUUUGUUCCCCUGCCUGGCCCUCCAAAGGAAAAAAAUCUAGACACAUCCAUGGAUCUGCAAACACAACUGUGCACCCAUUCUUCUUAAAUUUAGACAACUAUGAGCACAAAGUACAUAAGGUGUGAUUGGAUAAUUAAAUUUUGGAAAACGAGGGACGUUUUAUUUCCAUGUUAUGUCCCGUCUCUCGCUUUCACAGUCGUGUCCAGAGCAUUAAACAUCUUGUACUUGGCUAUAGUUUAAUGUGAGUAGGUUUGUAUGUGUGCAACUUGUUUACAACAAACAGUAAAUCCUGUGUGUGUGACCCGGGUCGUGCUUUAUGUAACCUUGAAACAACUUCUCCUCCAGCAGCAGCGUGGGGAGUAAAUGUGAAUCACAUUUACAGCCUUGCAAACAGUAGAGGACAUUGUGUUAAAUGUGCAGCGUGCCGUAUUAGGGCUGCACUGCUAUAAGCACAGGAAGUUAGCUUGACGAGCAAAAAUAUUCACACACCUUGAACUUAUUCACAAGAUACUUCAAUGUAUUUUAUUAUAAACAAUACAUAGUUUUAAAAAAUAGACCCAGAAAGUCAACAAACAGGUGAAGGAUGAUGAAGUUAUGGAGCUGGAUUUGACAAAAUAAAACCAAAUGAAAUAAAAAUCUGAAUCUGAAAAGUAGUUCGACAUUUUUUCAGGU